GACGUAGGUGGCGAGCGUUGUUCGGAAUCACUGGGCAUAAAGCGCACGUAGGCGGCCAUAUAAGUCGGGUGUGAAAGCCCUCGGCUCAACCGAGGAACUGCGCCCGAUACUGCAUGGCUUGAGGUCCGGAGGGGAGAGUGGAAUUCCCGGUGGAGCGGUGAAAUGCGUAGAGAUCGGGAAGAACACCGGUGGCGAAGGCGGCGAGCUGGCCUGUUACUGACGCUGAGGCGCGACAGCGUGGGGAGCAAACAGG
rnacentral:rRNA from 1 species